UGAGAUUCAGUAUCUAGUUCCCAAUUAAGC
rnacentral:piRNA from 1 species